rnacentral:rRNA from 1 species
UACGUAGGGUGCGAGCGUUGUCCGGAAUUAUUGGGCGUAAAGAGCUCGUAGGCGGUUUGUCGCGUCGGCCGUGAAAACUUGGGGCUUAACCCCAAGCUUGCGGUCGAUACGGGCAGACUUGAGUUCGGCAGGGGAGACUGGAAUUCCUGGUGUAGCGGUGAAAUGCGCAGAUAUCAGGAGGAACACCGGCGGCGAAGGCGGCUUCCUGGCCCUGAACUGACGCUGAGGCGCGAUAGCGUGGGGAGCAAACGGG